CUUCCUCUGUGUUAUUAGCAGUGUCCCUGGUAUGGCAGCAAGGCUGUUUGUUCCUGAAUUAGUCAACCAUCCUGGCAGGACCAUGUACCUAAUGACUACAAUAGCAAGUAUGGCCUUGAGUGCCAGAGGGAAAAGGAAAGAAGGCCAGAAGUUUCUCUCAAGGAUUAGGUGAAAAGCCACCUCAUGGGACCUCAGGGACUUCACCAAAUACUUGAGGACAUCUAAUUGGAUAGAAGCCAAAAAGUGCCGCUUGAUCCAUCAGGGAGAAAAAGAAGAGAAGAAAAGAGCUAAGUGCUUUUGUGAGGUGUUUUUACCAGGAGCGGACUGCUGCACCUGGCUCGAGUUUUCCUCUUUGUUAUUAUGCCUUUUAUUCAACCUUUUUGUUUCUAACACUGCAGCAGAAGUCAUCCUGCUAAUUUUAUGCCUCCAGAGUAAUAGAUUAGCUGUCCUUGGGUGUAUUAUAUUUCUUUUGAGGGCUUAUGAGACCUGGCUAAGAAAAAGAAACAUAAUAGAGCAGAGCUGGGCAGCAGCUGGGGGUACUACAGUGCACUCACAGCCACCUGCCAAU